rnacentral:rRNA from 1 species
CCUACGGGGGGCAGCAGUAGGGAAUCUUCCACAAUGGGCGAAAGCCUGAUGGAGCAACGCCGCGUGGGUGAAGAAGGUCUUCGGAUCGUAAAACCCUGUUGUUAGAGAAGAAAGUGCGUGAGAGUAACUGUUCACGUUUCGACGGUAUCUAACCAGAAAGCCACGGCUAACUACGUGCCAGCAGCCGCGGUAAUACGUAGGUGGCAAGCGUUAUCCGGAUUUAUUGGGCGUAAGGGGAACGCAGGCGGUCUUUUAAGUCUGAUGUGAAAGCCUUCGGCUUAACCGGGGUAGUGCAUUGGAAACUGGGAGACUGGAGUGCAGAAGAGGAGAGUGGAACUCCAUGUGUAGCGGUGAAAUGCGUAGAUAUAUGGAAGAACACCAGUGGCGAAAGCGGCUCUCUGGUCUGUAACUGACGCUGAGGUUCGAAAGCGUGGGUAGCAAACAGGAUUAGAUACCCGGGUAGUC